UUUAAAUUACAUUUUUUAUAUAAUAUAUAAUAUUAAUUUUUAGAUAUUAAGGUUUUUUAAUAUCUUUUUGGCUAAUUUGCAUAAAAAAUUCACUUAUUUUAGAUUUUUGCAAAAUCGGGUCAUCUUUUUCAUUUUUGCAGAUUCGGUCCGUUUUUUCAGCAAACUGACCAAAAUACCCUUUUUACUUUUUCUCUUUCCUCUUUCUCUCUCCUCUUCGUUUCUCUCGUUCUUUUUUUUCCCUCGCCGGCAGAGGGGAGGCGGAAACGGUCCGUCUCGCCUCUCACCCUCAUUCUCUCGCCUUCGC
rnacentral:lncRNA from 1 species